rnacentral:tRNA from 1 species
GGGGUUGUGGCUCAGUGGCAGAGCACUUGCCUAGCUUGCAUGAGGUACUGGGUUCAAUUCUCAGCACCACA